rnacentral:rRNA from 1 species
UACGGAGGGUGCGAGCGUUGUCCGGAAUCACUGGGCGUAAAGGGCGCGUAGGCGGCCUGAUAAGUAGGGGGUGAAAUCCUGCGGCUUAACCGCAGGGCUGCCUUCUAAACUGUCAGGCUCGAGCACAGUAGAGGCAGGUGGAAUUCCUGGUGUAGCGGUGAAAUGCGCAGAUAUCAGGAGGAACACCGGUGGCGAAGGCGGGUCUCUGGGCCGAUACUGACGCUGAGGAGCGAAAGCGUGGGGAGCGAACAGG